rnacentral:rRNA from 1 species
CGGGAGGCAGCAGUAGGGAAUCUUCCGCAAUGGGCGAAAGCCUGACGGAGCAACGCCGCGUGAGUGAUGAAGGUCUUCGGAUCGUAAAACUCUGUUAUUAGGGAAGAACAAAUGUGUAAGUAACUAUGCACGUCUUGACGGUACCUAAUCAGAAAGCCACGGCUAACUACGUGCCAGCAGCCGCGGUAAUACGUAGGUGGCAAGCGUUAUCCGGAAUUAUUGGGCGUAAAGCGCGCGUAGGCGGUUUCUUAAGUCUGAUGUGAAAGCCCACGGCUCAACCGUGGAGGGUCAUUGGAAACUGGGAAACUUGAGUGCAGAAGAGGAAAGUGGAAUUCCAUGUGUAGCGGUGAAAUGCGCAGAGAUAUGGAGGAACACCAGUGGCGAAGGCGACUUUCUGGUCUGUAACUGACGCUGAUGUGCGAAAGCGUGGGGAUCAAACAGGAUUAGAUACCCUGGUAGUCCACGCCGUAAACGAUGAGUGCUAAGUGUUAGGGGGUUUCCGCCCCUUAGUGCUGCAGCUAACGCAUUAAGCACUCCGCC